rnacentral:lncRNA from 1 species
CCGAAUUAAUCGAAUGCCCACCCCUAGUUACACAUGUCGGCAACAUUACUACUACGACACUUUCACUUAGAAGUAUGGAGAUAAAACCAUGGUUUCUAUCUGUUGAAUACUGUUAGUUUAUUCCAUUAAUUGCUUCUAUUACUUGGCAUUUAACUGUUAGCAUCAUCACUUACUUUGAAGCAGUGACUCUUUUAUGACUUCAUUACUACAUUUUCAGGUGGAUUAGAUAUUGAUUGCGUUCCGAAAGCUUCUUGCUUGAUCUCUAAAGAGGAACAAAACUGUGAACAACAGUAAGGAAGUGGUAGGAAACAUUGGGAAGGCACAUGAUGGAGUUAUAUAUUCCUUGGUGUCUGAACUAGGAAACCAUGCUUUCGAGAUCUGACUGGGGUUACCACUAUCUUUGAGAACUUGAUUUGAAACACUACAAUUGGUGUCCUCCUAUGUCACGACCCAAAAUUAAUAGGUCAUGAUGACACUUGUCACUGCGUACCUUGACAAGUAAGCCUAUCAGCCCAAAUGAUACACGAAGGAAAAAAUACAUAAAUACCCCCAAAGAAAGGCUUCUAAAAUAAAGCAACCAUACAAGUAUAAUAACUGUGGAAAUAAGCAUAAAAAUACAGCCAUAACUCUCAAAAGUUGGUGUCAACUGUAGAGAAUAGCAGAAGAAAAGUAUAGUUGGUGAGACCUUCUGCUAGCUCAAGAUCGUUAGCUAAAAUCGGAAGAUUCAACUAAAAAGAGGAAGAUAUGAAAGUAAAAGGAAGAUAUUGGACAAGAGAACUUGGGUAAAGAAGAAGACUACUUGAAUUUAGAAGACUACUUGAAUUGAUU